rnacentral:rRNA from 1 species
UUUAAUUAAAGACUAGAAUGAAAGGUUAAACAUUUAAAUUACUUUAAAAAUAUUUAAUUUUAAAAUUAUUAUAAAUGUAAUAAAACAUUUAUUAAAUAGAUAGACGACAAGACCCUAUUGAGCUUAACUGAAGUUUAACUGGGGCAGUUAAUUAAUUAAUACUUUAAUUAUUAUAUUUCAUUUAAUGACCUAAUUCAAUUAACUAAAUGAUCAAGUUACCAUAGGGAUAACAGCGUAAUAUAUUUCUAUAGCUCUUAUAUAAAAGCAUGAUUACGACCUCGAUGUUGAAUUAAUUAUUCUAAUACGAUGCAACCAUCUAAAAAGAAAGUCUGUUCGACUUUUAAAUAAUUACAUGAUUUGAGUUCAGACCGGUGUAAACCAGGUCAGAUUCUAUCUUCUCUAUUUUUCUUCCUAGUACGAAAGGGCCUGAAGAAACUUUAUCUAUUUGGCAGAUAAUUGCAUUAGAAUUAGAAUCUAAUCAUCUAAAUAUUCUAUUUUCAAUUAAUUUUAUUAUUACAAUUAUUUCU